CCCUUAGAUGUCCUGGGCCGCACGCGCGCUACACUGAUGCAUUCAACGAGUAUUUCCUUGGCCGAGAGGCCUGGGCAAUCUUUUAAACCUGCAUCGUGAUAGGGAUAGAUUAUUGCAAUUAUUAAUCUUGAACGAGGAAUUCCUAGUAAACGCAAAUCAUCAAUUUGCAUUGAUUACGUCCCUGCCCUUUGUACACACCGCCCGUCGCACCUACCGAUUGAAUGGUCCGGUGAAAUCUCGGGAUUGUGGCCAGUUCACUUUAUUGGGAGUUGGCUGCGAGAACUUGCUGAGACCUUAUCAUUUAGAGGAAGGUGAAGUCGUAACA
rnacentral:rRNA from 1 species